rnacentral:rRNA from 1 species
UACGUAGGCAGCAAGCGUUGUUCGGAAUUAUUGGGCGUAAAGGGCGCGUAGGCGGCGCGGUAUGUCACCUGUGAAAUCUCCUGGCUCAACUGGGAGCUUGCAGGCGAAACUGCCGCGCUGGAGUGUGGGAGAGGUGCGUGGAAUUCCUGGUGUAGCGGUGAAAUGCGUAGAUAUCAGGAGGAACACCUGUGGCGAAAGCGGCGCACUGGACCACAACUGACGCUGAGGCGCGAAAGCUAGGGGAGCAAACAGG